rnacentral:rRNA from 2 species
AUCUCUUGGUUCCAGCAUCGAUGAAGAACGCAGCGAAAUGCGAUAAAUAAUGUGAAUUGCAGAAUUCAGUGAAUCAUCGAAUCUUUGAACGCACAUUGCGCCCCUCGGUAUUCCGGGGGGCAUGCCUGUUCGAGCGUCAUU